CAUGUAUCAGUACACGCCUUGACAAGGUGAAACCGCGACCGGCUCAUUAUAACAGCUAUAAUUUACUAGACCUUGAGCAGUUACUCGGAUAACUGUGGUAAUUCUAGAGCUAAUACGUGCACCGAAGUUGUCCCUCACGGGGCAAUGCAUUUAUUUGAGCAAAACCAGGCGGCUUCGGCCGUUGCUGUUGAAUCAGAAUAACUAAGCUGAUCGUAUGGGCUUGUCCCGACGACGUGUCUUUCAAGUGUCUGCCUUAUCAACUUUCGAUGGUAGUGUACGUGACUACCAUGGUGUUGACGGGUAACGGAGGAUAAGGGUUCGACUCCGGAGAAGGGGCCUGAGAAAUGGCCACUACGUCUAAGGAUGGCAGCAGGCGCGCAAAUUACCCACUCUCGGUUCGAGGAGGUAGUGACGAAAAAUAACAAGGCCGUUCUCUUUGAGGCCGGCCAUUGGAAUGGGUACAAUCUAAACCCUUUAACGAGUAUCAAUGAGAGGGCAAGUCUGGUGCCAGCAGCCGCGGUAAUUCCAGCUCUCAAAAUGCAUAGAAUCAUUGCUGCGGUUAAAAAGCUCGUAGUUGGAUCUGUGCUGGCGACGUGGUCUGCCCUCGCGGGUGGUACUGCGCUCGUCGGCUUUGGGCCGGUCUCCGGGCGGUGGCCUUCACUGGUCGUCGUUCGUGGCUGGCUGGUUUACUUUGAGCAAAUCAGAGUGCUCAGCACAGGCGUCUCGCCGGAAUGUUCGUGCAUGGAAUAAUGGAAAAGGAUUUCGGUCCUCUUUUAUUGGUUUUGUGGACUGAGAUAAUGGUUAACAGAGACGGACGGGGGCAUUCGUAUUGCUGCGUGAGAGGUGAAAUUCUUGGACCGCAGCAGGACGGACUACAGCGAAA
rnacentral:rRNA from 1 species